rnacentral:rRNA from 1 species
UAAGGGCGCACGGUGGAUGCCUUGGCACUAGAAGCCGAUGAAGGACGUUACUAACGACGAUAUGCUUUGGGGAGCUGUAAGUAAGCUUUGAUCCAGAGAUUUCCGAAUGGGGAAACCCAGCAUGAGUUAUGUCAUGUUAUCGAUAUGUGAAUACAUAGCAUAUCAGAAGGCACACCCGGAGAACUGAAACAUCUUAGUACCCGGAGGAAGAGAAAGAAAAUUC